CCUACGGGAGGCUGCAGUGGGGAAUAUUGGACAAUGGGGGGAACCCUGAUCCAGCCAUGCCGCGUGUGUGAAGAAGGCCCUCGGGUUGUAAAGCACUUUCAGUGAGGAAGAACGCCUGGUGGUUAAUACCCAUCAGGAAAGACAUCACUCACAGAAGAAGCACCGGCUCAACUCCGUGCCAGCAGCCGCGGUAAUACGGAGGGUGCGAGCGUUAAUCGGAAUUACUGGGCGUAAAGCGCGCGUAGGUGGCUUGAUAAGCCGGUUGUGAAAGCCCCGGGCUCAACCUGGGAACGGCAUCCGGAACUGUCAAGCUAGAGUGCAGGAGAGGAAGGUAGAAUUCCCGGUGUAGCGGUGAAAUGCGUAGAGAUCGGGAGGAAUACCAGUGGCGAAGGCGGCCUUCUGGACUGACACUGACACUGAGGUGCGAAAGCGUGGGUAGCAAACAGGAUUAGAUACCCCGGUAGUC
rnacentral:rRNA from 1 species